rnacentral:rRNA from 1 species
UACGUAGGCAGCAAGCGUUGUUCGGAGUUACUGGGCGUAAAGGGUGUGUAGGCGGUUGUUUAAGUUUGGUGUGAAAUCUCCCGGCUCAACUGGGAGGGUGCGCCGAAUACUGAAUGACUUGGAGUGCGGGAGAGGAAAGUGGAAUUCCUGGUGUAGCGGUGAAAUGCGUAGAUAUCGUCAAGAACACCGAUAGUGAAGACAGCUUACCAAGCUUCAACUGACGCUGAGGCACGAAAGUGUGGGGAUCAAACAGG